rnacentral:lncRNA from 1 species
GGCAUGCCUUUGGACAAAUUGUUAGGAAAAGGUAGAUAUGGACGGAGGGUAGGAAAUGUUCCUAUCUCCAAAAUCCUACAGUGUUGAUAAGUGGAGGAUGGUUACUUAGCACUUUUUCUUUUGACAAACACACACCUAAUUAUAUUGUACUCUUAAAUUCAUUGAAACUUCAUAUUCAGGGUUAUACUGAAGAUCUUACUCAGAUAACCUGAAUUUUAAAAACUAUCAUCCUUUUAUAAAAGUCAAACUCUAUUAUAACGAGAAGCAUUGCAUUUAUUUGUCUGUGCUAUGUUGGGAUAGCCAAUUACCUUUACUUUGGAGGGCAGACCAAAAAUCCUAAUCGAUUUACCAGUGGAUCUUCAUCUGCUGUGAUUGUGGAAGCUCUUUCUUCUUAAUUCUGUUCAGAUCUACAAAAACAGAAAAGGAAAAAAAGGAUGAAACAAUGGAUAAAGCUAAUCAGAAAUCUACAAUCUCAUUAGUUGCCAGAUGUUCCAAAAUUAUUAUGUGUUUUGAAACGCCAAAGUGUUAAAAUUAGAGGCACUUUACCAAUUUUACAACAAAUGUAAUUCAGUUGUGUGGUUUUUUUUUUACAGUGAAUUUAAUUGGCUAUAUUUACAAUAACGUAAGAACAAAUGACUAUUCAAUGUGUACAUAGAGUCAGCCUCCUGGGGCUUAAAAUUAUUGUAUGUAAUUUGCCACUAAUGACUUUUCACUUAAUUUUUGAAAUGGUUAUUCAGAAAGUCUGCUCCUGUGAAACCUGUCAGUAUCACAAAUUUAAAACAUACACACAGACACACACACACGCUGAAUGAAAUUACUAUUUGGAGAGCUCACUCUACCCUUUAUUAUUCAGCAAUUUAUAAAAGCAAUUCAUAACACUACAAAUAGAAAGCAAAAAUUCAAUUAAACCAUUCUCCUAAAAAGCACAAGGGAAUUAUGUGUUCCAUCAUGCACAUAUUUUCAUACACAUGCACACAUACAUAUUUCAAGUAGAAUGUGGCUACUAUUAAAAUUAAUUUGGAGAGGAGCAUGGAGUUCAGGAAUCAAGAGAGUGAAGGUUAACAAAUUAGAGUUAGAAAGCCAGUUUUCAAGUUUGACAUGCAGCACAAGAGAAAGAACGGCAAAUAUAGGUAAUGACACAGCUAUGAAGCAGAUGCUGCUAGGGUGUAGAGCACAAGGCAGGCUUACUUCAUAAGAAAAAUUCACUAUUGAUACAUUUUUCUUCCUAUAAUCCUCACAAGCUAUAUACCAAGGUUGGGUGGCAAGAAGAUUGUUUUAACUUUUAUUUACUUUCAUAUACUCUGAGAUAGUAAGCCAAACAUUUCUAUGGUCUGAGACAUCAGAUAAUAAAGCAACUCUGAAAGUCAGCAGUUGAAAUUCUAUGCCAUGUUUCAAACAUUUAUUCAUAAUUAUCUUUACUGGCUCUAAGUUAUUCAUGGAUCACAUCCAUUCCCUCUCCCUUUUUAAAACAGUUUCGGUUUCAUUCACCCACAAAAUGUUAUUCAGUAAUGUAAGCGUUCAGUAAUCAUUCCUCCAAUCUUUAUAAGCCAGAUGUGUCUCUUCUCUAUAUUUCUAAUUCCUUCCUAGUGCCCUUUUAAAAAUUUUCUCUGAUUUCCAUUUUAGUGUUCUUUUUCUGCCUUAUUUCCAAUAAAAGCCACUAUCUAGCUUAACAUGUCUGUCCAGAGCCAAAAUUCAUUUCUUUGCAUCCUAAACACUUUACAGCUAUGCAAAAUCACUCAAAGGAAGCUACAAAUUACCAGGAUAGACAGCCAAUAAAGAUGUUAUGUUAGAGAUAACCAUUCAGCCUGCUGACAGUGAUUCCUUCAGAGUAGACUGGAGAUGGAACAACACUGGCAGCAGAUUAAACUCUGUGCUUGAUAGGAUUUCAUUAGGUCAAGCUAUGUUUCCAUUUUCCAUCAGGACACUCCAGGCAUAUCUCCAAAGUAUCCAAGGAAGUCAUCAGAUUUUGGGUGCCAUGAAAUCGCCCCCAAGAUAGCAUUUACCUUUAAAAGAAUUCCUCAUUUACUAGCCUGCAUACCUUAAAAAUGCUUUAAGGGAGACUCUAUUCUUAGAGGGAAAAAAAAGGUAGUGGCAGUUACUAAAAAUAAGCAGUUAAAAAUAGUAACUUCUCUUAGAAUGGGGGUAGAAAGACAACUAUCGUAUGUUUGUAUAUGUUCUUUUUUAUCUUCACAAGAAUACUAUUCUCAAAAGAGCUGUUGUUAUGAUCCCCAUUUUACUAGCAAGGAAACAGACUGAGAGAGGUCAUAAUUUGUUCAAGAUUACCCAGUAAAUAAACGGUUUGGAAUUGGAACUAGAAUGGAGGCCUAUGAUGUAAUUUAGUUCCCUUACCAGUACACCAUACUGUCUAAACAGCAACUUAAUUUUGUUUUGCAAAGACAAAGAAAUUGGUUUUUUGUUUGUUUGUUUAAUAUUUUAUUUAUUUAUUCAUAGAGACAGAGAGAGAGAGGCAGAGACACAGGCAGAGGGAGAAGCAGUCAUCAUACAGAGAGAGAGCCUGAUGUGGGACUCGAUCCAGGGUCUCCAGGAUCACGCCCUGGGCUGCAGGCGGCGCUAAACUGCUGCGCCACCAGGGCUCCCAAAGAAAUUGUUUAAGGGGAAGACUGAAGAGCAUGUUCUAAGAAUAGAAACAUAAAACUGGACAGCUUUUAUUCAUUCACCACCUAAUAUGUAACAAAUAGUCAAUAAAUAUAAUUUUUAAUAAGAUAAUUUUUAAAUGACUGAGAUGGGA